UAGUGCUGAAUACCUGUUCAUUCUGUGGGA
rnacentral:piRNA from 1 species